UACAGAGGGUGCGGGCGUUGUCCGGAAUUACUGGGCGUAAAGGGCGCGUAGGCGGCCUGAUAAGUAGGGGGUGAAAUUCCGUGGCUCAACCACGGAACUGCCUUCUAAACUGCCGGGCUUGAGCACGGUAGAGGCAGAUGGAAUUCCCGGUGUAGCGGUGGAAUGCGUAGAGAUCGGGAAGAACACCAGUGGCGAAGGCGGUCUGCUGGGCCGUUGCUGACGCUGAUGCGCGACAGCGUGGGGAGCAAACAGG
rnacentral:rRNA from 1 species